GAUGAACGCUGGCGGCGUGCCUAAUACAUGCAAGUCGAGCGGGCUGACGAGAAGCUUUCUUCUCUUAGGUUAGCGGCGGACGGGUGAGUAACACGUGGAUAACCUACCUAUUAGACUGGGAGAACUGCGUGAAACCGGAUCUAAUACAGGAUAAUAUCUUGAUCCGCAUGGUUCAAUGGUGAAAGACGGUCUUGCCGUCACUUAUAGAUGGUUCCGGGCUGCAUUGGCUAGUUGGUAAGGUAACGGCUUACCAAGGCAACGAGGCAUAGCGGACGUGAGCGGGUGAUAGGCGACACUGGAACUGAGACAGGGUCCAGAAUCGUACGGGAGGCAGCAGUAGGGAAUAUUCCGCAAUGGGGGAAAGCCUGACGGAGCAACGCCGCGUGAGUGAUGAAGGUCUACGGAUCGUAAAACUCUGUUAUUAGGGAAGACCAUAUGUGUAAGUAACUGUGCACAUCUUGACGGUACCUAAUCAGAAAGCCACGGCUAACUACGUG
rnacentral:rRNA from 1 species